rnacentral:rRNA from 2 species
AGAGUUUGAUCAUGGCUCAGAUUGAACGCUGGCGGCAGGCCUAACACAUGCAAGUCGAGCGGUAGCACAGAGAGCUUGCUCUCGGGUGACGAGCGGCGGACGGGUGAGUAAUGUCUGGGAAACUGCCUGAUGGAGGGGGAUAACUACUGGAAACGGUAGCUAAUACCGCAUAACGUCGCAAGACCAAAGUGGGGGACCUUCGGGCCUCAUGCCAUCAGAUGUGCCCAGAUGGGAUUAGCUAGUAGGUGGGGUAACGGCUCACCUAGGCGACGAUCCCUAGCUGGUCUGAGAGGAUGACCAGCCACACUGGAACUGAGACACGGUCCAGACUCCUACGGGAGGCAGCAGUGGGGAAUAUUGCACAAUGGGCGCAAGCCUGAUGCAGCCAUGCCGCGUGUGUGAAGAAGGCCUUCGGGUUGUAAAGCACUUUCAGUGGGGAGGAAGGCGUUAAGGUUAAUAACCUUGGCGAUUGACGUUACCCGCAGAAGAAGCACCGGCUAACUCCGUGCCAGCAGCCGCGGUAAUACGGAGGGUGCAAGCGUUAAUCGGAAUUACUGGGCGUAAAGCGCACGCAGGCGGUCUGUCAAGUCGGAUGUGAAAUCCCCGGGCUUAACCUGGGAACUGCAUUCGAAACUGGCAGGCUAGAGUCUUGUAGAGGGGGGUAGAAUUCCAGGUGUAGCGGUGAAAUGCGUAGAGAUCUGGAGGAAUACCGGUGGCGAAGGCGGCCCCCUGGACAAAGACUGACGCUCAGGUGCGAAAGCGUGGGGAGCAAACAGGAUUAGAUACCCUGGUAGUCCACGCCGUAAACGAUGUCGAUUUGGAGGUUGUGCCCUUGAGGCGUGGCUUCCGGAGCUAACGCGUUAAAUCGACCGCCUGGGGAGUACGGCCGCAAGGUUAAAACUCAAAUGAAUUGACGGGGGCCCGCACAAGCGGUGGAGCAUGUGGUUUAAUUCGAUGCAACGCGAAGAACCUUACCUGGUCUUGACAUCCACAGAACUUUCCAGAGAUGGAUUGGUGCCUUCGGGAACUGUGAGACAGGUGCUGCAUGGCUGUCGUCAGCUCGUGUUGUGAAAUGUUGGGUUAAGUCCCGCAACGAGCGCAACCCUUAUCCUUUGUUGCCAGCGGUCCGGCCGGGAACUCAAAGGAGACUGCCAGUGAUAAACUGGAGGAAGGUGGGGAUGACGUCAAGUCAUCAUGGCCCUUACGACCAGGGCUACACACGUGCUACAAUGGCAUAUACAAAGAGAAGCGACCUCGCGAGAGCAAGCGGACCUCAUAAAGUAUGUCGUAGUCCGGAUUGGAGUCUGCAACUCGACUCCAUGAAGUCGGAAUCGCUAGUAAUCGUAGAUCAGAAUGCUACGGUGAAUACGUUCCCGGGCCUUGUACACACCGCCCGUCACACCAUGGGAGUGGGUUGCAAAAGAAGUAGGUAGCUUAACCUUCGGGAGGGCGCUUACCACUUUGUGAUUCAUGACUGGGGUGAAGUCGUAACAAGGUAACCGUAGGGGAACCUGCGGUUGGAUCACCU